CCUGGUGGCUCAGAGGGUUAAAGCGUCUGCCUCCAAUGCAGGAGACUCAGGUUCGAUCCCUGGGUCAGGA
rnacentral:tRNA from 1 species